GUAGCUUCAUUUCGAAGAUUUUCUUUGUUUUCUUCAAAUAAUAAUUAAAUUUAGCGUUCUCUUAUUUAAAUCAUUAAUUUAAAUAUUCAAUUUAGUGCCAAUUUUACCCCUUUGUUCAAUAGUAAGACAUUUAAGUAAUAGAUCGAACCCCCUUAGUUAAUUAUAGCCAUUUAGCUAUCCAUAAAAAUAAAUCAGCAUCUUAGUUGCAUAGGUACUUAUUGCGCUCGCCGACUAUUCCAGAUUUUGCGUAAACAAGUCGAGGGCCGACUGUUGCUACGCGGAGAACAAAAGAUCACGCGCAUCGGCCACUCCAUCGGCGUGGUUGCACAUUUAAGACUAUCAACGCUGCACGGGUUUGAAUCUGAACUGCAAGGUUUGCCGGAGUAAACGGGCACUUCCUGAUCGGACGACCAUUGACUUCGCUGCCGGCGCCAAACCUCGAAGAAGCCAAGCCGAGCCAGCUCCAUCGAUACGCACUCAUGGAACAAGUGCGACAGCAUUUCUGGGCCAGAUGGAGCCACGAGUAUGUCAGUCUACUGCAGCAGCGCACUAGAUGGCGCUCACGUCAGCCUAACCUCGAGCUGGGCCAGCUCGUCCUGGUGAAACAACCUCACGGCCCGCCGUUGACCUGGCCGCUCGGGCGCAUUGAAGCGACACCGUGUACUGCAUCGUAUGCGCCCCGCCACUAGCCCCAGACGCUAUCCGAUCGCGGUCAAGCACACAUACACUGGUCAAAAAGAGAAAUAAAAAACAAAGUGUGAUGUAAAGCUGCAUUUUUGGUAUG